rnacentral:lncRNA from 1 species
UCUCUAUCCAUUCGCCUUGAUAGUCGAAACGCAUUUUUUUCUCAACCCAAUCGAUGCAAGUACAUCCAAUUUGUGUCAGCCAUGCCAUCCCCAAUACUAGAUCAUAACCGCGCAACUCAAAAAGCAUAACAUCUAUCUCCCAUUCAACCCCUUGAACAGAAAUAAUUACACCAUGACAUUCUCCCAAAGUCGGAACCACAUGUCCGUCACCCAAUCUGAUACGUCUAACAGGAGUCUCGGUAAUUCGCAAACCCAAAGCCAAAGCUAGACGCCUUGACAUGAAAUUUUUGUUUGCUCCACUGUCAACCAACAUCAGCACCGGUAUCUCCCUCACUUUCCCUUGAAAUCUGAUGCAUUGAAACCUAUCUUGAUAAUACUCGGUUUGUCUAUCAAAGGUCAACGCAUUUUCAAAAGUCAGCACAUUCAAUUGCAACUCUUCUGCACCUGUGUCCACAUCUUCAUCAUUCAACACUCUUACUUCAUUUUCAUCUUCAGAAUCAUCCUCAAGCACCAUAACACUCAAAUUUUUAUCCGGACAUUGAUGACGUGGAUGAUACGGACCUCCACAUUUAAAACAGAGUCCUUUUUGACGACGGUCAGCAAUCUCUUGUGAAGACAGACUCCGCACAUUCUUGUCACGCCAAUUUGCAGUGUUGAUAGUGUGUGUUUUGUUUUGUCCAACAUUAAACAUUCCACGUGCACGAUUGUUUCCUCCACUGUUUCCUCCAGGAAAACGAUCACGAUUGUCUUUGUUAUUACGAAUCAUAACCCAAUCGCUAUUUCUACCUUCAUUCUGUGUGACAACUUUGUUACCAAAAACGGGUCGAGAUAGUGAUCAUGCUGCGAACCUUUCCUCUGAUUUUGUCCUUCAAACCAUGAACGAAAUAACCCAAAUAUUGGUCAUUGGGUAAUUUGGGCAGUUGCGCUACUAACCUUUCAAAAUCUGCAAUGUAUUCUUCAAUCGUUCCUUCCUGUUGAAGUGCAGAAAGUUGUUCAAAUACAUUCCCAUCACUAACACCACCAUACCUUUCAAGAAGUGCAUCUUUCAAAUCUUCCCACGUCAAUGUUUCAUUCUCCUCCAACAAUCCUUUGAAAAAAUGGAUUGUUGGACCGUCCAUACAUAAUUGUGCCAAAUUCACUUUGAUUUCUGGUGUAGUAUUCUGCACAUUGAAAUAAACUUCCGCCCUAGCGAUCCAACCAGCGGGAUCAUCACCAUUAAACAUCAGUAAUUCAACCUUUUUAACAGAUAGGCGAAAUUCAUCCAAGGCUUCAUCAUGUAAUUCAGAAUUUUUCUUUUUGUUACCAACUGAUUCAUUAUAGUGCGAUGAUUCUCCCACAUUCUUCUCCUUACUUGAAUUCAAUAAAGAGAUGAUCUUCUCCUGGUUCUCCUUGUUUUGAUUCUGCAUUUCAUGUAAAGAAACCUCCAAAGUUGCGAUUUUCUCUUCAAGUGCAGUCACUUUGGCCUCCAUCUUUUUCGGUGGCAUCCGGCAGGU